rnacentral:rRNA from 1 species
AUUGAACGCUGGCGGCAGGCUUAACACAUGCAAGUCGAGCGGUAACAGGAGAAGCUUGCUUCUCGCUGACGAGCGGCGGACGGGUGAGUAAUACUAGGGAAUCUACCUAGUAGUGGGGGAUAGCUCGGGGAAACUCGAAUUAAUACCGCAUACGACCUACGGGAGAAAGGGGGCAACUUGUUGCUCUCGCUAUUAGAUGAGCCUAAGUCGGAUUAGCUAGAUGGUGGGGUAAAGGCCUACCAUGGCGACGAUCUGUAGCUGGUCUGAGAGGAUGAUCAGCCACACCGGGACUGAGACACGGCCCGGACUCCUACGGGAGGCAGCAGUGGGGAAUAUUGGACAAUGGGGGCAACCCUGAUCCAGCCAUGCCGCGUGUGUGAAGAAGGCCUUUUGGUUGAAAAGCACUUUAAGCAGUGAAGAAGACUCUAGGGUUAAUACCCUUAGACGAUGACAUUAGCUGCAGAAUAAGCACCGGCUAACUCUGUGCCAGCCGCCGCGGUAA